UAACGAAGGGCGCCAAAAAUAAAAGAGAUUAAAAAGACGACAGGAACACGAAGAAAAUUAUAAAUUCUUCCUUCGACUCUUCUAGAGACAACAGAAGAAUGCUGGAAGUCAUAGUCUGAUUAUAUCUAUUGUAUAUCUAUUGUAUAUCUAACAAAGUUAAAUAAAUAUAUCAUAAUUGUUACUUGAUGUGCGAAGUUUCUUUUUACGUAAUGGGUUUUCUACGAAUAACCCACAUCGUUGUUUAUCGUUGAAGCAGUCUCUUGAAAUUUAUUUGAAAUGAAGUACUGUAGGGAGUUAAAAAAAAUACUGUUCCAUCCAAAAAGAUAUUAACUAAUGGAAAAAAAUAUAAUUCUCGCAUUACUUUCGACGAUUGUAUCAACAAUGUUAAUAACGUGACAUUGCAGCAGAAUUGCAACUAGCAUAAUCACAAUAUGGCAAACAUUGUUAUUGAGAUAUAGAAAUUUAUUUGCAGAACAUAAUAAUGACAUAAUUUGGCAGCGUAUUAAAGGACACUACUUUAAUGCAACGGAGCACGUAAAGACUAAGAAUGUAGUUAACUACAUUAAUUAGAAAUUUUAAAUAGAUAAGGGUUUAGGACAGUUUCUAACAAAAAGAGAGAGUUAUGAUGGAAAAUUCUAUUGUCUCAUUGACAACUCUCAAAGUCUUUGGAAUGAUAAUAUUUGGGCCUUCUUUAGGAUGAAAAACAAGCCAAAAACGAAUAAUUACAAUUGCAGUAAAUAUUUUUGAAAAAAAAAUAUUUUGUAUGUCACCAUAAGAUACAAUCAACUAUAAUAUUAAGGUAAUGCACUAACAAUAUAUAUAAAAUUAAAUGAUAUGUUAUAAAAAUAGACUACAAAAUUAAUAAAAUUUGAU